rnacentral:rRNA from 1 species
GACGAACGCUGGCGGCGUGCUUAACACAUGCAAGUCGAACGGAAAGGCCCUGCUUUUGUGUGGUGCUCGAGUGGCGAACGCGUGAGUAACACGUGAGUAACCUGCCCUUGACUUUGGGAUAACAUCAGGAAACUGGGGCUAAUACCGGAUAGGAUCUCCUGCUGCACGGUGGUGGAUGGAAAGUUUCGGCGGUUGGGGCUGGUCUCGAGGCUUAUCAGCUUGUUUGGGGGGUAGUGGCUUACCAAGGGUACGACGGGUAGCCGGCCUGGGAGGGGGACCGGGGACAUGGGGACUGAGGUACGGAGCAGACGCGAAUGGGAGGCAGCAGGCGGGAAUAUGGCACAGUGGGGGGGAGCCUGUGGCAGAGAUGCCGCGAGCGGGAUGACGGGCUUCGGGUUGUAAACCGAUUUCGCCCGUGACGAAGAGUGAGUGACGGUAAUGGGUAAAGAAGCACCGGCUAACUACGUG